rnacentral:snoRNA from 1 species
ACUUCCCCUCCAGGAUUUUCAGUGUAAAGCUCCUGAGCCAGGAGGAGCAAGAGAGGAGACACCCCAUGAGCAACUCAGGCACGUGAGCUUCUGCUCAUCCCGUGGGGGCUCGAC